rnacentral:rRNA from 1 species
CACGUAGGGGGCGAGCGUUGUUCGGAAUCAUUGGGCGUAAAGGGCGUGCAGGCGGUCCUGCAAGUCCGGCGUGAAAGACCCCGGCCCAACCGGGGGGACGCGCUGGAAACUGCGGGGCUUGAGUACAGGAGGGGAUGCCGGAAUUCCAGGUGUAGGGGUGAAAUCUGUAGAUAUCUGGAAGAACACCAAUGGCGAAGGCAGGCAUCUGGCCAUGUACUGACGCUGAGACGCGAAGGUGCGGGGAGCAAACAGG